UACGUAGGGGGCUAGCGUUGUCCGGAUUUACUGGGUUUAAAGGGUGCGCAGGCGGAUAUGUAAGUCAGUGGUGAAAUCUUCCCGCUUAACGGGAAAACUGCCAUUGAUACUAUAUAUCUUGAAUGCUGUGGAGGUAAGCAGAAUAUGUCAUGUAGCGGUGAAAUGCUUAGAGAUGACAUAGAAUACCUAUUGCGAAGGCAGCUUACUACGCAGAUAUUGACGCUCAUGCACGAAAGCGUGGGGAUCAAACAGG
rnacentral:rRNA from 1 species